ACAUGCUUACAACAUAGCGUUAAUGCAUCAGAUCCCAUUAGAACUAUGAAGUUAAGUUUUCUCGGGAUAGCGUAGUACUAGGAUGGGUGACCUCUCGGGAAGUCCUAGUAUUUUACAUGUC
rnacentral:rRNA from 1 species